rnacentral:lncRNA from 1 species
CACGUCGAUCUCCCACCUCAUCUCCUCUGCAACACGUCGAUCUCCCACGUCAUCUCCGCCACCACCACCGUUCGCAGCCACCACGACCGCUCACAACAACCACCACCUUGUGUAAUCGAUUACAGUUCGUGGUUUCCUUCGUUUUUUCAUGCUUUGUAAGGUUUAAAAUUGUUGAUUCGAUGUUUAGUUUGAUGUAAAUUGUGUUUAAGUUUUGCUGAAUGUAUUACCUCUGUUUCGUUAUUCUUGAUUUAGUUGUGUAAUUAUUUUCAGUUCAUAACUUUAAAACUGAUACACAUUAGAUGUUUUGUUUGAAGAAUUGAAUUGAAUUGGAAUGAUGUAAAAACAAGUCUACUUUGUUCCUAAUGUUAGUUAGUCAAUUUGAAACUCCUUUUAUUGGACAAUGAGAUUGUAUGCUCAGAUGGAUAUGCAUCUGUUUUGGUGUAUGUCACAAGUAUUAGCGGUAAAUGGUUCAAGAAUAUAG